GUGGGGAAUUUUGGACAAUGGGCGCAAGCCUGAUCCAGCAACGCCGCGUGCAGGAAGAAGGCCUUCGGGUUGUAAACUGCUUUUGUACGGAACGAAACGGUCCUGGUUAAUACCUGGGGCUAAUGACGGUACCGUAAGAAUAAGCACCGGCUAACUACGUGCCAGCAGCCGCGGUAAUACGUAGGGUGCGAGCGUUAAUCGGAAUUACUGGGCGUAAAGCGUGCGCAGGCGGUGCUGUAAGACAGGCGUGAAAUCCCCGGGCUCAACCUGGGAAUUGCGCUUGUGACUGCAGUGCUGGAGUACGGCAGAGGGGGAUGGAAUUCCGCGUGUAGCAGUGAAAUGCGUAGAUAUGCGGAGGAACACCGAUGGCGAAGGCAGUCCCCUGGGCCUGUACUGACGCUCAUGCACGAAAGCGUGGGGAGCAAACAGGAUUAGAAACCCGUGUAGUCC
rnacentral:rRNA from 1 species